GACGAACGCUGGCGGCGUGCUUAACACAUGCAAGUGGAGCGACGAACCAGGGCUUGCCCUGGGGCAAAGCCGCGAACGGGUGAGUAACACGUGGGUAACCUACCCAGAUGACCGGGACAACCCGAGGAAACUCGGGCUAAUACCGGAUGUGCUCCUCUCACAUCAGUGAGUUGAGUAAAGAUAGCUUCGGCCUUCGCAUCUGGACGGGCCCGCGGCCCAUUAGCUUGUUGGUGGGGUAACGGCCUACCAAGGCACCGAUGGGUAGCUGGUCUGAGAGGACGAUCAGCCACACUGGGACUGAGACACGGCCCAGACUCCUACGGGAGGCAGCAGUGGGGAAUCUUGCGCAAUGCGCGAAAGCGUGACGCAGCAACGCCGCGUGGGGGAAGACGGCCUUCGGGUUGUAAACCCCUUUCAGGAGGGACGAAGCUUGUCCGGUGAAUAGCCGGCGCGAGUGACGGUACCUCCAGAAGAAGCCCCGGCUAACUACGUGCCAGCCGCCGCUGUAA
rnacentral:rRNA from 1 species